AGAAGAGAGGCAUUCCCUACAUUGUUUGUUUUUUCGUUGUAUCAUUCUUUACUCUUCCCAGGGAUUAUCAUCUAUGUAAAAGGUACAGGUGUUCUACUAACAAUUACAUGGGAAGAGAGAGUGAAUGAACUACUUUUUUAAAUUAAAGGAGUAAGAGGACUCAACAGAGGGAGCUAAGUUAUUUGUACAAAUUCUUGUUAUAUGAUGCAGAAAAUAGCAGUUUCAUAAAACAGUAUAGUGCCUAUAAAUGUAUGUGCUGUUAAAUAGAAAAGACAUCUGGGAAGUCUUCAGAAAAAAAGGGAAAUUCAACCUGGACACAAAGAGUACAGGACUUUCAAACUUACAAACAUACAACAUUUAGAAAGAGCCACUCUUGUGCCUCUCAAAAGUUAGAAUACAGAGUAAUAGUUUAGGGAGAAAAAAAAAACACACAGAGUUCCAGCUGUUAAUCCCAGUGAUUAAGGAUGUUAAUAGGGGUGAAGAAAGUUAGGUUAGCAUUAAUAACAUGAAAAAUCUAAAAUUACCAAAGGUAACAGAAACCCACCCAAAUAUCAAGAUCGGGGUAAAUGGAAGAAGGGAGAAGAAAAAUUGAAAAAUGCACUUAAGGUUAGAUUUAUAGCUAUACUAAAGGG
rnacentral:lncRNA from 1 species